UGGGGGGUCGGCUAACGGGAAGCCACAAGCCUUUGAAGCUUGGGAUGCGGGUUCGACUCCUGCCCCCCCAGCCA
rnacentral:tRNA from 1 species